rnacentral:rRNA from 1 species
AUACGUAGGGGGCGAGCGUUGUCCGGAAUGAUUGGGUGUAAAGGGAGCGCAGACGGCUAAGCAAGUCUGAUGUGAAAGUCAUGGGCUCAACCCAUGGAUUGCAUUGGAAACUGCGAAGCUGGAGUGUCGGAGGGGUAAGCGGAAUUCCUGGCGUAGCGGUGAAAUGCGUAGAUAUCAGGAGGAACACCGGUGGCGAAGGCGGCUUACUGGACGAUCACUGACGUUGAGGCUCGAAAGCGUGGGGAGCAAACAGGAUUAGAUACCCUGGUAGUCCACGCGGUAAACGAUGAAUACCAGGUGUCGGGGGGCGAAGCUCUUCGGUGCCGAAAGCAAACGCAGUAAGUAUUCCACCUGGGGAGUACGUUCGCAAGAAUGAAACUCAAAUGAAUUGACGGGG